CUCGGGGUCGAUGCUGGCUCCGGCCCCGGCCUCUGGCUCCAGCCUGCAGUGCAGACCCCGAGAGGCAGUGACGAAGGCUCUGGUGGGUGACGCCCUACCUCCCCCGGGGGCUCGUGAGGGGUCACGGGGUCAUGAGGCAGCAGGGCAGCCUGGGAAGUCCAGCAGAGCCACAGGCCCACAGAACCGGCGCCCAAAGAAGCCCACGGCAGCCUGGGCGGAGGCAAGACUCCGGAGAUCUCUGGAGGAGAAGCAGGAAGCCAGUGGUGAGAACCGUGGCGGCCAAGGCCGGGGAGAGGGGCACGUGGUGGGGCGAGAGGGCUCUGUGGCAGGGAGGCUGAGGAGCCAGCCGCUUUAAAGAUUUAUGUAUUCACGUAUGGGAAAGGCAGAGAGGCAGGGCUGGGGGAGGUCGUCCCUGGGCUGGUUCAGUCCCCAUGGGGACCACAUGGGGCCGGGCCAGGUUGAAGGUAGGACCCUGGCGCUCCAUCCUGGCCUCCGUGUGGGCGGCAGGGCCCGGGCAGGCAGGCAUCCGUCCUCUGCUGCUGCCCGGGAGCACCAGCAGGGAGCUGGCCCGGCAGGGCUCCUGACAGCGCUGUGGCAGCCACACCUGCUCC
rnacentral:lncRNA from 1 species